CGCACCCCUACUGCGCCGCGUCUGUUUCCCGGAAAAACUACUUGGAGCUGAUUGAAUUGUGCUAUCCGUCCUUUGAGGUCCCCUCCGAACGCCAAGAGAGCCUAGCCACGAAAACCCGUUCGAUGGUACCGAACUAGUAUUAUAUGGCCUGUAUCUCUCUCCCAACAUCCGGCUGGAACAAACCCCCCAGAACUUCCUGCGAAGUUGACCCCUCCAUCACCUCAUCCGAUCGAUUUCAUCCACCUCUCGCCUCCUACCUCCGCACCACCUGAAGUACAUUCUAAGCCCUGGCCCCCAAACCUUGACGGAGAGGGGGGUCGAUAGUCCACUUCUUAAGCAAUAGUCCGGUGGGGGAGAAACGGCUAACCCGCACCUUAUAUUGACAUAGGCUAGCAUAUGGAGUAACCCUCGUUGAACCAAGGCCCCCCGACCCGCUUUGGCUGAUCGGGGGUUCCGGGAGCAAAUUCUGGUGGGCGAGUACAGUGGAUCCUAGAUCGAUCGAACAAGGUAACUUCGAAAACAAACUCCCGAAUCUUUCCCAAACAGCUCUUCCAUAGUUUUCCAGUCCGCAGCACGACUCAGGUUUGGAUGGGCGAAAUCACGACGGCAGCCACAAAAAAAUGGAUCUCCGACAUCACACAACCCGACACACCUAAGUUUCGCGAGGCUCGGCCCCUCUUCCCCUUCGGAUGUCCCCUUCGGUACACCACCACAUCAUGCCAUCCAGUCUGGAGCGUCGCCGACUCCCGUUGGCCAAGGUAGGGCCAACACAAGAGUAGCGGACGAACCAGUCAUCUGGUCUUACCGGAGAAAGGGAGAGGUAGACUGCCACCACCAAACCCCACCCAAGCACACACCAGGCAGCAAAAAGCCAUCAUCCUAAAAGAUGGUCCCACUUCACAAGACGAGGAGGUUCCCCGUCUUCAUUCCAACCCCAGGUGAGAACACACACACCCUUCUUUGCGAUGGAUAAAAGGCAAAAAGAGAGGGCAAAAAAGCCAACGGCAAAUUCCAACCAGACCCCCAGAGGCACACACCACAAAAAGUGAAGCCAGAGAGAGCCAGACAAAGAGAAGGAUAGAGAGAGAGGGAGAGUUAGACCCCCCCGGAAGAGAAUCAUAGGUGCUGCGGCCUUUUUCGGGAAUGUGACCAGGAAAGAGAGAAACCGACGAGGCCGAUACACACAUUAAAAAAUGAAAAAGUAACCAUCACCGCGAAGGAUUUUCCUCAAAAGACAAAUCAGCAAGAAGUAUGUCCAAUCCCGGGGCCCAUCGCCCCUCCAAAUUAAUGGAGGGGUCGGAUAGAAAUUUAUAGAAAUGUUACUUUUGUGAACCCCUAGCCGACGAGAGACUCUCACCGGUUUCGAAGUUCCAUUUUCACAUUCCGACCUGGGAUGUUAUGACUCCUCGCCCACACUGCGAACGCGUCCCACACCCCCUCCAAGUUAUCAGGAAUUUCACCUGAGCUUGCAAUAGAGAUCGAGCGCGGUGGCGGUCACAGUGGUGGUCGACCAGGCGGAGCUGAACGGCCUCGGCAAACACUUCUCCCCACCCUCCCAAAUGAAUGAGAGAAUGGCUUGACAAUACCGAGGCCAUCGCCCCCCGCCAAAAAUGGUUACUAGCUCUUGGACUCGCUGCGACGUUACGCGUAUCGGCACAAGACCAACCCUCUUUUUCCAGUCGCCCGCGCACCAAAAAAAAUUUUGGCAGCGGGACUCACAAUCCUUGACAGCCAGCUCACCAUAUAUACUCGGCGACCCUCCGCGGGACCUCCUCAGAGGGUCGCGUCGCCGGGAAACUAACCCCCACUCCUCACUGAUCCAAGUAACACGCCAGAAGUAUCCAGGUAACCCCAGUAGUAUCCAGGUAUCCCCCCUGCGAACGUCGGUACUGGGCUCAAGAAGGCAGCGAGCAGUCGGGACCCGUAGGCACCGAGCAACCGUCACCCCCUCACGACUUUUCCCGAGACGCUUCAGAGGAACCCUUCCCCCACAUAGUACUCUCUGUGGGAUUCGGCAGGCCCCCCCGUCCUACUGCACUAAGGAAGUUCCGAGACACACUUUUUUUUGUGGAAGACCACCCACCCUCCCUGUCCUGCCUGCUAUCCCCGCCGCGACUCCUGGUCCCGGCCCUCCUCCCCGACUUCCUCCUUGUCCCGCUGCGAGUCCCGGACCUCCUCCCCCACUACCUACUCCCGCCGCGAGUCCCAGUCCCGGCCUUCCUCCUCCUCCUCCUCUUCCCUAGUCCCGGCGCGAGUCCCGGACCUCCUCCCCCACUUCCUAGUCCCGUCGCGAGUCCCGGACCUCCUCCCCCUCUUCCUAGUCCCGGCGCGAGUCCCGGACCUCCUCCUUCUCUUCCUUGUCCCGCCGCGAGUCCCAGUCCCGUCGCGAGUCCCGGACUUCCUCCUUCUCUUCCUUGUCCCGCCGCGACUCCCUAGUCCCGUGGCGAGUCCCGGACUUCCUCCUCGACUCCCUAGUCCCGGCGCGAGUCCCAGUCCCGGC
rnacentral:lncRNA from 1 species